rnacentral:tRNA from 1 species
GGGGAGAUGCCAGAGUGGACGAUCGGAGCCGCCUGCUAAGCGGUUGAAGGGGGUAAUGCCUCUUCCCAGGGUUCGAAUCCCUGUCUCCCCGC